rnacentral:misc_RNA from 1 species
GAUGAAGAACGCAGCGAAAUGCGAUACUUGGUGUGAAUUGCAGAAUCCCGUGAACCAUCGAGUCUUUGAACGCAAGUUGCGCCCGAAGCCGUCAGGCCGAGGGCACGCCUGCCUGGGCGUCACACGCCGUUGCCCCCCCGCGCCCCGCACCCAACUCUUUGGGAGCGACCGCGGGGCGGGCUGAUGAUGGCCACCCGUGCGCUCCGCCGCGCGGUUGGCCCAAAUACCGAGUCCCCGGCGACGUGCGCCACGACGAUCGGUGGUUGAGAGACCUCUGUCGCAAGUCGUGCGCGCCCGUCGCGUCACGCGGGCUCGCAUAGCGCCUCGCGCCGCACCCGGUGCGGAGCUUUCAACGCGACCCCAGGUCAGGCGGGGUUACCCGCUGAAUUUAAGCAUAUCAAUAAGCGGACGA